GCCUCAGAUCCUUCACUGUAUACGGUGCGUAAAGAAAUCCAAAGCCACCGAUGGCCCUCCUUCUGUGUUCAGUCCAGGAAGCAUAAGUUACACAGGCGUACAAGAGUUAGCAGGGAGUUCAAAGAUGGAGAAAGCUGGGGCUUCUUAGGAGGAAUUUGGUAACUGCUGGAUCCGGUCUUGUGCGCGCUGCCACAACUGCUGUGGGUAUGUAUGUACGCGUGCCCUGAUGUGUCCAGAAGACAUUGUUUCCUGGUAGUCGUCUGGCUUCUCUGGCGUCUGCGGUCCUUCCACCGUCAUCCCUGAGGCAUAAGAGGAGGGGAUGUGACAGACAUGUCUAGUUCGAGGCUUGGGCACCCUGCUGUCCUACUCGCUGCACUUUCAACAGUUAGUGUGGCUGAUCUUGAACUCACAGAGUUCCUCUGCCUUCCUACUGUGGG